rnacentral:rRNA from 1 species
GGCGGAUGGGUGAGUAACACGUGAGAAUUUACCUUUAGGAGGGGGAUAACAAUUGGAAACGAUUGCUAAUACCCCAUAUGCUUUUGAGUGAAAUGGAUUUAUAUUUAUCCGCCUAGAGAGAAGCUCGCGGCUGAUUAGCUUGUUGGUAAGGUAAGAGCUUACCAAGGCGACGAUCAGUAUCUGGUUUGAGAGGACGAUCAGACACACUGGAACUGAGACACGGUCCAG